ACUGUAGUAAUGACAAUGAUAAUCUUGUUGGAGGUGAAUGAUGAUGUCAUAAUGUUGUUGGUAGGCCGAGCGUCUGUUCAGCGAAGUCCGCAGGAUCGAGUCGUACCGAGUGGAAGGAAUGGAGAUCUACUCUACAACACUGUGGCACCUUCAGAAAGACGUGGCCCUGUCCGCCCUUUCCAAAGACCUGACGGACAUGGACAAAAACUGUCCUGAGGCCUGGUGUGUGGCAGGGAACUGUUUCAGUCUACAGAGAGAACACGACAUCGCCAUCAAGUUCUUCCAGAGAGCCAUCCAGGUGGAUCCGGGCUUUGCGUAUGCCUACACUCUGCUGGGUCAUGAGUUUGUCCUGACGGAGGAGUUGGACCGGGCUCUCGCUUGUUUCCGGAACGCCAUCAGAGUCAACAACCGCCACUACAACGCCUGGUACGGUCUGGGGAUGAUUUACUACAAACAGGAGAAGUUCAACUUGGCAGAAAUUCACUUUAAGAAAGCUUUGAGCGUCAACCCUCAGAGCUCGGUGCUGCUCUGUCACAUCGGAGUGGUGCAGCAUGCGUUGAAGAAGUCUGACACAGCUUUAGAGACUCUGAACAGAGCGAUAGGGAUCGACCCUAAAAACCCGCUCUGCAAGUUCCACCGAGCUUCCAUCCUGUUCGCCAACGACAAGUACAAGGCGGCUCUUCAGGAGUUGGAGGAGUUGAAGCAGAUCGUUCCCAAAGAGUCUCUGGUUUACUUCCUUAUAGGAAAGGUGUAUAAGAAGCUGGGGCAGACCCACCUGUCUGUCUGUCUGACUGCCUGUCUGUCUCUCAGGUGUAUAAGAAGCUGGGGCAGACCCACCUGGCUCUGAUGAACUUCAGCUGGGCGAUGGAUUUGGAUCCCAAAGGAGCCAACAACCAGAUCAAAGAAGCCAUCGAUAAGAGAUACCUGCCAGAGGACGAAGGUGAGACAGCUGCAGACAGUCAGGACAGCAGCAUCAUGACGGACGCUGAUGACACGCAGCUUCACACGGCAGAGAGCGACGACGUCCUCUAGCCGCGCCCCCUGUCCUGAUUCGCCAGAGGAGUAAUGUUGCUAGGCAACAUUCUGACAGACUGAUCUUCUCCUUCCUGUCUUUUGAUUGGCUGAAACUGACUGCUGAAGCCCCGCCUCUCCUCAUCACAGCUGUUUUUUAUGUUCUUUUUAUCGUCAUUAUGAUAUCAAUAAAAACAUGUAAACCCCG